rnacentral:rRNA from 1 species
AUUGAACGCUGGCGGCGGGCCUAACACAUGCAAGUCGAGCGAGCGGCGGACGGGUGAGUAAUGUCUGGGAAACUGCCUGAUGGCGGGGGAUAACUACUGGAAACGGUAGCUACUACCGCAUACCAUCAGAUGUGAACAGAUGGGUUUAGCUGGUGGGUGGGGUAACGGCUCACCUAGGCGACGAUCCCUCGCUGGUCGGCGAGGAUGACCAGCAACACUGGAACUGAGACACGGUCCAGAAUCCUACGGGAGGCAGCAGUGGGGAAUAUUGGACAAUGGGCGAAAGCCUGAUGCAGCCAUGCCGCGUGUGUGAAGAAGGCCUUCGGGUUGUAAAACACUUUCAUCGGGGAGGCGUUACCCGCAGAAGAAGCACCGGCUAACUCCGUGCCAGCAGCCGCGGUAAUAC